CUCUUCAGCCAGUCUGCAGUUGGAAAUUCAGGGUGACGGUUCCUCAGUUUAGUUUUAUUUUUAGUUUGGUUCUGAGAAGAGGUGCAAGGAAGGUCCACCUACUCUGCCGCCACCUUGAAACCUCCCUCUUCCUGACUUCAUUUUGGUGGAACAUCAAUAGGUCCCUGAGAAGUGGACCUCCAGCGCUGAGUUGAAUAGAAGGGAUGAUAGCAUCUCUGUCUUGUUCCUGAUAUUAAAGUAAUGCUUCCAUUUUUCAGGUAGAAUUAUGAAGUAUGUUAAAUUCAAUGUUUGGUGGGUGGUUUUGCAGUAUAUGCACUAUAAGAUAAGAAAAUGUGAUCCCCAGUUUAUUAAGCAUUUUCAUUAGGAGCGACAUAUUGAAUUACAUCCUGUGCUUUUCUAUUUCUGUAGAAGUGAGCAUAUUCUCCCCCUUUAAUCUAUUAAUGAAAAACUGAUGAUUUUUUAAAUAUUAAACCAGUUUUACAUUCUAGGGGUGAACAUUGAUGAGAGAGAAACAUGGGGCAUGUCCCCCACUGGGGAUCGAGCCCACAACCUGGGCAUGUGCCCUGACUGGGAAUCAAACCAGGACCUCUCAGUCCAUCGGAUGAUGUUCCAUCCAUUGAGCCCCACUGGCCACGUGAUUUUAGCAGUGUUUUCAAAGAACAAGUUUUCAGCGGACACCUUAUCGGGACAAGCAGGAGAGAGCAGCACGCCCUGUGUCCGUGUGUCUCUCUGAUAGUCCUCCUGCCGGCAGUUGCAGCUCAGAGAGCCAGCAUCCAUCCCAAAGACUAAACGCAGGAAUGUAGUGUGUUAACAGCAGGAGAAGAGUCAGGCUGAGAAGCUUGAAAAUGUACACAUGGAAGAAGAAAUUGGAAGACAAAUUUAAACAAACAAAAUAGGGGACAUGUAGUGUUUUGCCUUGAUGGUGAUAUUGCUUUGGCACCUAGGUCUUGGUCAUUGUUCCAUGAGUGCUCAGAAAGACUGCAUUUUCACUAAGUUCAGGGUUUUGUGCAUGCCCAUUAGAUGAAUUUUAUUUUGUCACUCAAAUAUGCUAUGUCUUUAUUAGAGGAAUCUUAUUUUGUAGUUCAAAUAUACAAUAUCCUUUUUGUCUUUAAAUAUUUUUUAUUGAUUUUUUUUUUUUUUUUAGA